UCAACAAGUACACGACGAUAAAGAAAAGCAACGUUAUUCGAUAUUGCUAUUGCAUAAGACGGCCGGAAUGCCACGAUACAAUCAAAACGAAUGGGAGUGGAAAUAUUUUGAACAAUUGAAGUAUUUUCGAGCACAAUGUAAAUUGUGCCCACGUUCUGAUCCAACCGUUUUGAUGUAUCGAAAUAUGACCGGCGUGAGAUAUCACUUAAAGCAGCACGAAAAUAUAAUUUUUUGCGAUCUCAACUAUUGCAAUUGGGAGAGACAUUUAUAUAAGAAACAUAAUAUACAUAUAAAUUUAGGAAAAAAAUUACAAAGAAUUUUUAUAUGGAAUCAUAUUGAAGAAUGUAGUAAAAAUGUGGUGGAGUGUCUUGAGUGUGGUUAUAUGAUUAUACUUCAUCCUGUGAAAGCUUUAAAUAAUCACAUGUUUGAUGAACAUCGUGAUAUUUGGAACAAAGAACAAACUCCACAAAGAGAAACUGAUAUGCCUGAGCCAUCAACAAGUGCGCAACAUUAAAGAAAAGAAGAACGAUUUAUCUCAUCCAGAUUUGACAAUGGUGUUAUAUUCAAGUAUCACGACUAGCAACAGUAACAAUCUUGACUUUGACGAUUAAAAUGAUUUGAAGUGUUUGAAAAAACUGCCAUAUCGAUAACAUGUGUAAUUAGCAUAUUACUUAUUAUACA